CAGAAUUCCUUCAUUUUGUCAGCUUUCUUUCUCUCUCUAAAAUCCUUGUCCUAAAAUUCUCUCUACCUUCUCUCUAGAUUUUCUCUUUACUGAUCCGAUCAAAUUUUGAUUUGAAGGUGUUUCCGUGCUCGCUGCACCAAGGGCUUCAGUUUGAAUCGAACGUUUUUCCAUUCCGACCGGUGUUGUCAAACUCGCCUCUGUGAGGAGGUACUGCUAGAGCGUUCCUAGGAGUGGUACUGUUAAGCUUUCCAGAAAGUAUAUGAUUACAAAGUGAUGAAAGUAUGAUCCAAGUUGUAAAUCAAGUUCCAUCUGUGUAGGAUCUCUUGGUGAGAUCCUUAGUGUUUUAGAAUGAAAGUAGGAGCUCAGUCUUGGGGGUCAUUCUGAAACUCCAAUGGCUAAUCAUACUCAAGUAGAGGGAUUAAUCCAUAUGGUGAGGAGUAGCAGGAGGUCUUAGUCUUGGGGGCUUCCAGUAUGUCUCAAGGCCCGGAACAGGCUAACCUCGUGAGUGUGGCAGGGUGGGGAACCCAAGUUUCAUAAGUCACCACGAGUGCAGGACCCGCCAUAGCUCGACUAUCAUUCUAAAGUCCGGACGAGUCAAGUCUAGAAGAGGAAGAUGAGAUUUAUUUGGAGGCAACAUUGGAGAGAAAUGAAGAUGAUGCUGCAGCUUAGACUCACUAGGAAUUCUUAGUUCUCUUAGUCAUUUUGAAGAACCUUGUUAUGUUUUAAGUUUCAAAUUCUGGACAUAUUUUGGAAUACUCUAGUACUUGAAGUUUUAAUUUCUUAAUAAAUUCUGGAAAACUGUAAUCCUAUAAUACUUUAAGUACAUCUCUUAACUGAUUUCUAA